AAUAGAUACCCUGGUAGUCCACGCCGUAAACGAUGAGUGCUAAGUGUUGGAGGGUUUCCCGCCCUUCAGUGCUGCAGCUAACGCAUUAAGCACUCCGCCUGGGGAGUACGGUCGCAAGACUGAAACUCAAAGGAAUUGACGGGGGCCCGCACAAGCGGUGGAGCAUGUGGUUUAAUUCGAAGCAACGCGAAGAACCUUACCAGGUCUUGACAUCUCCUGACCGCCCUGGAGACAGGGUCUUCCCUUCGGGGACAGGAUGACAGGUGGUGCAUGGUUGUCGUCAGCUCGUGUCGUGAGAUGUUGGGUUAAGUCCCGCAACGAGCGCAACCCUUGGUUCUAGUUGCCAGCAUUCAGUUGGGCACUCUAGAGCGACUGCCGGCGACAAGUCGGAGGAAGGUGGGGAUGACGUCAAAUCAUCAUGCCCCUUAUGACCUGGGCUACACACGUGCUACAAUGGAUGGUACAAAGGGCAGCGAAGCGGCGACGCAUGAGCGAAUCCCAGAAAACCAUUCUCAGUCGGU
rnacentral:rRNA from 1 species